UCUGAAUCUUGCGAACGGCUCCGCAAACCAGUUGUAAACCACAGCAAGGCUGAGCCGGCGAAACCCUCGGGCGGUAGCCGGCACUAUAUGGAUAACCCUGGUAAUUCUGAGGCUAAUACAUGACAAACCGAACCGUCUUCGGCCUCGCGCUGGGGGCGGGAACGUGCGACCGUAUAAGCUGGGUUUUUUCGCGAAUGAACGCACGUCCAGACCGCCGUUGAGUGGGUCAGGCUUCGGUCUGGCCCUGGCGGCCCUUGCAACGGGCUUCUGACCUAUCAACUAUACAGCAGCGUAAGGGACAUGCUAUGGUGACAACGGUA
rnacentral:rRNA from 1 species